UCACAUAAAGAGAAAACACUUGGAAACUUAUAUGAAAGAUUCUUUCAAAGGAAGCAACCAGAAAUUAGAACGACUUUGGCAAAUGAACAAAAGGGAGAGAGGGAGAUGAUCAACAGCAAAUCGUGUGAGCAGUGUAAACUACAUUUCAGAAGUUUGAUAUGGAUGUCCUGAAAUUCAAUGACGAACAGGAAAAAUUAGUGGUGGUAUCAUAAAACAAUUAUCAAAAAGAACAACAAGCAUUAAAACUGUCCAAAUGUAGUCAGAGCCGGACCCUGUAAGCAAUUAAAGACAUGCAUGAGAAGUACAUGGAGAUAUGGUUUGAUGAACUUGGAGACCAAAAACUACAAUAUGCAUUUUGAUGUAGAAGGUGAACUGAGAAAAGAAAUGACAGUGUUUAAAAAAUACCUCAUGAAGCAUGCUCUGAAGUACUCUUCUACUUUCCCAUCUUCAGACUAA
rnacentral:lncRNA from 1 species